rnacentral:rRNA from 1 species
CAAGUCGAGCGAUAACCAUGGCUUCGGCUAUGGGGAGAGCGGCGAACGGGUGAGUAACACGUGAGUGAUCUGCCCUUGACACCGGGAUAGCCCGGGGAAACCCGGAUUAAUACCGGAUGGCCUGUCGAGCCUACGGGCUCGCUAGAAAAGAUGGCUUCGGCUUUCGGUCGAGGAGGAGCUUGCGGCGGAUUAGCUUGUUGGUGAGGUAACGGCUCACCAAGGCGACGAUCCGUAGCUGGUCUGAGAGGACGAUCAGCCACACUGGGACUGAGACACGGCCCAGACUCCUACGGGAGGCAGCAGUGGGGAAUCUUGCGCAAUGGGCGAAAGCCUGACGCAGCGACGCCGCGUGAGGGAAGAAGGCCUUCGGGUUGUAAACCUCUUUCAGGAGGGACGAAGCUACUCGGGUUAAUACCCCAGAGGGUGGCGGUACCUCCAGAAGAAGCCCCGGCUAACUACGUGCCAGCAGCCGCGGUAAUACGUAGGGGGCAAGCGUUGUCCGGAAUUAUUGGGCGUAAAGCGCGUGUAGGCGGCCAGAUAAGUCCGCUGUGAAAUCUCGAGGCUCAACUUCGAGCUGUCGGUGGAAACUGUCUGGCUAGAGUCCGGAAGAGGAGAAUGGAAUUCCUGGUGUAGCGGUGAAAUGCGCAGAUAUCAGGAAGAACACCCGUGGCGAAGGCGGUUCUCUGGGACGGUACUGACGCUGAGACGCGAAAGCGUGGGGAGCGAACAGGAUUAGAUACCCUGGUAGUCCACGCCGUAAACGAUGGGUGCUAGGUGUGGGCGGUGUCGACUCCGUCCGUGCCGAACCUAACGCAUU